CUUUUGAUGUUAAACAGGGUACUUAGACUUUGGCAGUAAUGUUUUAAACCCCACCAUACACGCAAGUUUAAACGCGAGCAGCACAGCUGUGUGCCUGGCUGCUUUCAGCGCGAUUCAUUUAGGCAGAGCUAAGCGGGUGAGUUGCUUUAUAAAAGUGUAUUUUUUUGGUCUUGUAAUUUACAGGAAGCAGUAUGCCGUCUUCACAACUCGGAGACAAAUUGUAGGUGCUACGAACCGGAGCAAGGAUUAACCUCGCCUCAUAACGAGGCCGUGACCUAUAUUUGCUCGGAGCAAGUCCAGAUUUACAUGAUGUUGACAAUGACGGCAUGGUGUCUGCCUGUAAUUACGAGACAGUAAGCAGGAGCUUCAGGUAGAAACAACCAUAUCUUGCAUCGCAGGCGGAAGCUGUGAAGAGUUCAGCUCAGAGUCCAGCGAGAAGAAAGAGG